GGCUUGUUUGCAGACCUUGGCAAAACCACGAAAUUAAAUAUCCAUGAACAUACAAGAUUUCCUUUAUCCACGAAAAUUGGUACCCACGAAAAUAAAUUAAUCCACAGUUUAUUAAGAAAAUACACAACUGGUAACAACUUCAAAAACACAACAUCUGUGUCUGAGAAAAUUAUUUUGAAGUGUCUUGUUCAAUAGGCUAAACAAAAUUGGUCGUAAAAAAUAUAUAAUUAUUUCUAAAACUAAGAGAUCCUGCUAAUAAACUACAACUGUGUUUCCCACUACACUAAUUUCCUACCAGUACCUUGAUUAUUAAGUAGUAAGCAAUCAUCAAUCAAUCGAGAACCAUUUACCUAAUCUUUAACAAAAUAA
rnacentral:lncRNA from 1 species